rnacentral:lncRNA from 1 species
CUUUUUGAAACCAUUCUUAUCAAUUUUCAUUUUCCAUUGUCUAAAUUGUUCAUUGUUCAUGUUGUAUCCUAUAUAUAUGUUUCACUGCCCAUGUGCUGCGGUUUCCGUUUAUUUUAGCCGCUCGUCUUGAGCCUACCCAUUUGAUUCGAUCACACCCAAUAUAGCAAUAAAAUUAUACUUUAUUGCCAUUCAUUACUCUUAACAGACCAAUUAACAGACCGGGUUUUAUACAUCCGACCCAUUAACAGAC